GAAACGCCCUGAACACUGAAAAACUGUGAGAUCUACUGGAUUGCUGGAAGAGCAGAUCUCUGUUCUGGUAGAUAUAGGGCGUUCCACCUCAUAUAGGGGCCUACAAAAAGAGGCUGUCUCGAUGGGGAAAAAAAAUAAGAGAAAAAAAUGCUGUAAAAUUACUCUUAUCCGCAAUCUGAUGAUCUGACAUCUGCUUCCAGGACACAGUUUAAAUAUACAUUUGAAUUUCAUAAAACCAGAAGCAGAAAACUGAACAGAAAGCAGAUUAGGAAACUUCUCUGUUUUGAAAAUGAGAAAAAAAGUGGUAUGAUAUUUUAUCCUGAAGGAUCCCCACCCGAAUAUGUGUCUUUUCAGUUAUCAUGGACAGAAGUAACAGGGUGCAGCGUCCCUCUGCUACGGUAGUGGCAUACUGCAAAAAGGUUACAAAUAUGAUUAUGUAUGUUAAUAAUGUGAUAUGUAUAUAAUGUGGUUUUUGGUGUAAAAGGUGUUAAUAGGCCAUUCAUCACUAGAUGGGGCUGUUGCCACCCUCCCAGGGAGCGGUUAAAAUUCAGUGUUAGGGUCCAUUCACACGUCCGCAAUUUCGUUCCGCAUUUUGCGGAAUGGAAUUGCGGACCCAUUCAUUUCUAUGGGGCAGCAC